UCCGGUUUGUCACCGGCAGUCUCCCUAGAGUGCCCUUGCGUAGCAACUAGGGACAAGGGUUGCGCUCGUUGCGGGACUUAACCCAACAUCUCACGACACGAGCUGACGACAGCCAUGCAGCACCUGUCUCCGCGCCCCUUGCGGGGUUUCACCACUUUCAUGGAUAUGCGCGGGAUGUCAAGCCUAGGUAAGGUUUUUCGCGUUGCAUCGAAUUAAUCCACAUAAUCCACCGCUUGUGCGGGUCCCCGUCAAUUCCUUUGAGUUUUAACCUUGCGGCCGUACUCCCCAGGCGGUCGACUUCACGCGUUAGCUUCGUUACUGAGAGUGUCAAACCCCCAACAACCAGUCGACAUCGUUUAGGGUGUGGACUAC
rnacentral:misc_RNA from 1 species